AUGCACGCUGGCGGCGUGCCUAAUCCAUGCCAGUCGAGCGAACAGACGAGGAGCUUGCUCCUCUGACGUUAGCGGCGGACGGGUGAGUAACACGUGGAUAACCUACCUAUAAGACUGGGAUAACUUCGGGAAACCGGAGCUAAUACCGGAUAAUAUAUUGAACCGCCUGGUUCAAUAGUGAAAGACGGUUUUGCUGUCACUUAUAGAUGGAUCCGCGCCGCAUUAGCUAGUUGGUAAGGUAACGGCUUACCAAGGCAACGAUGCGUAGCCGACCUGAGAGGGUGAUCGGCCACACUGGAACUGAGACACGGUCCAGACUCCUACGGGAGGCAGCAGUAGGGAAUCUUCCGCAAUGGGCGAAAGCUUGACGGAGCAACGCCGCGUGAGUGAUGAAGGUCUUCGGAUCGUAAAACUCUGUUAUUAGGGAAGAACAAAUGUGUAAGUAACUAUGCACGUCUUGACGGUACCUAAUCAGAAAGCCACGGCUAACUACGUG
rnacentral:rRNA from 1 species